CUACGGGUGGCUCCAGUCGAGAAUCUUCCGCAAUGGACGAAAGUCUGACGGAGCGACGCCGCGUGCGGGAUGAAGGCCUUCGGGUUGUAAACCGCUGUCAGUGGGGAGGAAAUGCAUCAGGGUUCUCCCUGGUGUUUGACCGAUCCGCAGAGGAAGCGCAGGCUAAGUUCGUGCCAGCAGCCGCGGUAACACGAACUGCGCGAACGUUAUUCGGAAUCACUGGGCUUAAAGAGUUCGUAGGCGGCCUUUCAAGUCGGGUGUGAAAUCCCGCGGCUCAACCGAGGAAUUGCGCCUGAUACUGUUGGGCUUGAGGGGGAUAGGGGUGAGCGGAACUGAUGGUGGAGCGGUGAAAUGCGUUGAUAUCAUCAGGAACACCGGUGGCGAAGGCGGCUCACUGGAUCUCUUCUGACGCUGAGGAACGAAAGCUAGGGGAGCGAACGGGAUUAGAUACCCGUGUAGUC
rnacentral:rRNA from 1 species